CCACACUUUAGGAAGCACAGUAUUUCUGGUUGCUCUUAACAUAGGGGCAUAGGAUCCAACAGUCAGGAGGAAAUGGGAUGUCUCGAAGUUCAGCCAGAGCAUCACCCGCCAUGAAAUAUGAGGGCUAUAAAGACGCCUUGAAUCCUCCUCCACGAUACCCGCCCCACUAUUUGUUGGCACAGCUAUGAUGCUGCUUAUGGAUUGUUUUCACUCCUAAAGACAGUGGCGCAAGGCAAGGUGACCUGGAGCGAGGCCAUCCUGAGUGCCCACCCAGCUUCCCAGGAGCCUGUUGGAAUUUGGAAGGACAUUUGCCUCUGUUUAUAAAGACUGGCUUUUUGCUGAAAGCCAGGGUCUCAAAAAUUUUGUUUUAUUAAUAGAAGCUAAACCCCAAACAUUUGGCUCUUUUUCAUUCCAUUUCCCCUUUCACAAUCUUAACUAUUCCCAAGACAAUGGAUACCUCUGCCUGUAUCAAGGGCAGAUUGUCAAUAAGAAAGUCAACAGGAAAUAAACAUUAUUAUUUCAAAAAUACUAUCCUUAUCCAUUUUAAAUUAAGGGGCUAGGAGAAAAGGAUAUGAGGAUUUACUGUUGAAUGGGUUAGGAGUUUCAGUUUGGGAUGAAGAGAAAGUUCUGGAGAUGGAUGGCGGUGAUGGUGGCACAACAAUGCGAUGAACUUCAUGCCGCUCUCAAAAAUAGUGAAAAUGGUCAAGUUUAUGUUACGUCUAUUUUACUAUAAUAAAAAAAAAAUUUUGGUUUUCAGUGGGCAGGUGAAUAAGGAGACCCUCUUGCCACCUCUUGGCAAGAGCAAGAAAGGAGAUUGGAAUAUCAGCAGUGUGAGCUCUUCCAAGGGCAGUGGUGACAGCCUGGGAGACUGGUCAGCGUAGCAAGGGCAGGUGC
rnacentral:lncRNA from 10 species